rnacentral:rRNA from 1 species
GACGAACGCUGGCGGCGUGCUUAACACAUGCAAGUCGAACGGAAAGGCCCUGCUUGCCGGGUACUCGAGUGGCGAACGGGUGAGUAACACGUGGGUGAUCUGCCCUGCACUUCGGGAUAAGCCUGGGAAACUGGGUCUAAUACCGGAUAGGAGCCAUUUUUAGUGUGAUGGUUGGAAAGUUUUUUCGGUGUAGGAUGAGCUCGCGGCCUAUCAGCUUGUUGGUGGGGUAAUGGCCUACCAAGGCGGCGACGGGUAGCCGGCCUGAGAGGGUGGACGGCCACAUUGGGACUGAGAUACGGCCCAGACUCCUACGGGAGGCAGCAGUGGGGAAUAUUGAACAAUGGGCGCAAGCCUGAUGCAGCGACGCCGCGUGGGGGAUGACGGCCUUCGGGUUGUAAACUCCUUUCGCUAGGGACGAAGCUUUUUGUGACGGUACCUAGAUAAGAAGCACCGGCUAACUACGUG